rnacentral:rRNA from 1 species
UACAGAGGUCUCAAGCGUUGUUCGGAUUCAUUGGGCGUAAAGGGUGUGUAGGUGGCGCGCUAAGUCGGGUGUGAAAUCUCGGGGCUUAACUCCGAAACUGCAUUCGAUACUGCCGUGCUUGAGGACUGGAGAGGAGACUGGAAUUUACGGUGUAGCGGUGAAAUGCGUAGAUAUCGUAAGGAAGACCAGUGGCGAAGGCGGGUCUCUGGACAGUUCCUGACGUGAGGCACGAAGGCCGGGGGAGCAAAACGGGG